rnacentral:lncRNA from 1 species
GUUGAAGAGGAUUUCGAAGAAAACUGAGACGCUCCACAUCACUAGAGUAGCCAUGAAAAACGCUCCAGCUUCGCUCUCCUUCUGAACUCUGCUCGCACCUCCGCGGCCGCGACCGCUGCCGCCGCCAUCCCUCGGCAUAUUUCGUUCGGUAAUUUUUGCCGGCGGUGGAGGAGCAGAAUGGUACACACACAGCUCUCACAGAAUCAGACAAAAAGGCAAAAAGCGAGGCGCUAAAUGCGGCUAUGGACCAAAAGAAAAAGACGCAAGUAGCGUUUUUGCUUUUGCCAUUACCACAUUGACUAAGUAACGUUUUUCUCUUCUACUGCUAAUUCUUCUUUUUCCCCCUCUUCGGCUCUUCCUACUUUU